AGACCGAUAGCGAACAAGUAGAGUGAUCGAAAGAUGAAAAGCACUUUGGAAAGAGAGUUAAAAAGCACGUGAAAUUGUUGAAAGGGAAGCGCUUGCAGCCAGACUUGCCUGUAGUUGCUCAUCCGGGUUUCUACCCGGUGCACUCUUCUACGGGCAGGCCAGCAUCAGUUUGGGCGGUUGGAUAAAGGUCUCUGUCAUGUACCUCCCUUCGGGGAGAUCUUAUAGGGGAGACGACAUGCAACCAGCCUGGACUGAGGUCCGCGCAUCUGCUAGGAUGCUGGCGUAAUGGCUGUAAGCGGCCCGUCUUGAAACACGGACCAAG
rnacentral:rRNA from 1 species